rnacentral:tRNA from 1 species
ACUAUGUUGGCAGAAAUAUGCUACUGACUUAAGCUCAGUCCACGGGGCAACCCACGUAGUA